rnacentral:rRNA from 1 species
UACGGAGGGUGCGAGCGUUGUCCGGAAUUAUUGGGCGUAAAGGGCUCGUAGGCGGUUAGUCACGUCGGGAGUGAAAACUCAGGGCUCAACCCUGAGCGUGCUUCCGAUACGGGCUGACUAGAGGUAUGCAGGGGAGAACGGAAUUCCUGGUGUAGCGGUGGAAUGCGCAGAUAUCAGGAGGAACACCGGUGGCGAAGGCGGUUCUCUGGGCAUUACCUGACGCUGAGGAGCGAAAGCAUGGGGAGCGAACAGG